AGCUUUGCGCAGUGGCAGUAUCGUAGCCAAUGAGGUUUAUCCGAGGCGUGAUUAUUGCUAAUUGAAAACUUAAAAUGUAUAAAUGCCAACCUUAAUCUUUCAACAGUUUAGUGUUGUAUUUUUUUAAAGCACUCUUU